UGGGGAAUAUUGCACAAUGGAGGGAACUCUGAUGCAGCGACGCCGCGUGAACGAAGAAGGCUUUCGAGUCGUAAAGUUCAUUUAUAUGGAAAGAUAAUGACGGUACCAUAAGAAAAAGCCCCGGCUAACUACGUGCCAGCAGCCGCGGUAAUACGUAGGGGGCUAGCGUUGUCCGGAAUCACUGGGCGUAAAGGGUUCGCAGGCGGAAAUGCAAGUCAGGUGUAAAAGGCAGUAGCUUAACUACUGUAAGCAUUUGAAACUGCAUAUCUUGAGAAGAGUAGAGGUAAGUGGAAUUUUUAGUGUAGCGGUGAAAUGCGUAGAUAUUAAAAAGAAUACCGGUGGCGAAGGCGACUUACUGGGCUCAUUCUGACGCUGAGGAACGAAAGCGUGGGUAGCAAACAGG
rnacentral:rRNA from 1 species